GUGUGGGAGGGAGAACAAUGCUGUCCUGGCACCAGUGACAUCAGUGGCCUGGCCUGGAGGGGACCUUGAAAGCUGUUCUUUGGACCCAGCAAAGCCCCACCGUGGUUGGAACGUGGGUCUCUGAGUGACUGCGUGGAGAAGAACCACUACCCUCUGCCCAAUGUAUUGGUGACAUCAGUGAGCUGUAAACUGUUAUUGGACUAAGCCAUCAAGAUUUGGGCGUUUGUUUGUUACCACAGCAACACCUGCUUUGCACGGACUAAUACAUCAUGUUCACAGACACUGCUGAUGUGUUUCACCAGAUUUAGUUUUCUCCUGAUGGUUUCUGCAGCGGGUUCUGGAGCUGUGUUCCUACCUCAAUACCUACCCUAGCAUCAAAGUCCCUGGUGGGAAAGCAAUGCUUUCUCACAUUAUGAAGAUGGAAAAGAAUAUCGUCAGGGAGAACAUCACCAGCCCAGAAAAUUGGCUGUCAGCUCCAGGCCUCCAACCCUUAUAUUUAUUCCUGGGAAACCCUUGCUAAGUUAGGCAUUGAUUCUCUGCAUGUGACACGCCAUAAUAACUUCUAACUUGGAGAGUUGGCUUGUUU
rnacentral:lncRNA from 10 species